GGGGGCGACAGGCUUCGACAGGGAUGUAAGGAUCAAAGAGGCAUGCCGGGUUACUGCUUACCCGUACCCAAGCGGAACUAAACAUAACUGCAGACUCUCACGAGUACGCAUUAGCCGCGUAAAGCGGCUACAUCAUCCGGACUUUCUUCCUGCUUCAAGUCCGGAAUGGUGUCAUACAAGCAGGAUAGUCUCCCUGAACGCCUGUACAGGUAGGCGAAAACUUACAGGCUGGGAUGACGGAAAACCUGUCAGCGGGUGCUUCGCCAUCCGAGAUCAAUGCACUGACUAAGCAUGUAGUCUCUCUGAUUGCUUCUUCUUUGGACGCGGGUUCGAUUCCCGCCGCCUCCACCA
rnacentral:tmRNA from 1 species